AUUGCGUCUCGGCUUUUUGGCUAAAUUCAAGUGUAGUAUCUGUUCUUGUCAGUUUAAUAUUUUUUAUUUAUUUAAUGUUCUUUUUUAAAUUAAUUAUUUAUUUAUUUGAGAGACAGCAUGAGAGAGAGAGAGAGAGAGCAUGGGGGGGAGGGUCAGAGGGAGAAGCAGACUCCCUGCUGAGCAGGGAGCCCAGC